GUCUCAAUCACCAUAUCGCCAACAAGGUGUAUAUAUAAAAGGAACAAAGAUUUAAAAGGGAGCUGGAUCCUUGAUCCAUAAUCUGGUAUCAAAUUUCAUUCUCUACGAUCCUUACAUUUUUAAUCACAAUGACUAACAUAACCAAUGGAGACUCCACAUUGAAGACCCCUCCACCCAUAACCCUUUGUUCAUCUUGCAAGAGUUCAAGCAUCCCUACGCCAGCAGAGUCCAUUGCUUCCUCCCAUCAUCAAAGACAACUACUGCAUGUCCCUCUCCAAGUAAGCGAGAGCAAUCCCUGCAAUUUUUAUUGAGGUGUUGGAUCACUCAUUGUGGUGACUUUGGUCGCAUUCCCUAGCGAAUUGGAACCAAUAUACCAAAUUGCAGAAAUUAGCGGGUCCACUCCAUCGAGUCUGGUUAAUACGGUCUUGCUGUUGAAUUUAGACCAAAAAUUUUAAAAAGCUUUUUAAUUGUAAUUUUAACAUGUUAUUUUUUAG
rnacentral:misc_RNA from 1 species